GUAGGGGUUCUGAGAGGAAGGUCCCCCACACUGGUACUGAGACACGGACCAGACUCCUACGGGAGGCAGCAGUGAGGAAUAUUGGUCAAUGGCCGGGAGGCUGAACCAGCCAAGUCGCGUGAGGGAAGACGGCCCUACGGGUUGUAAACCUCUUUUGUCAGGGAGCAAGAGGCGGGUCGAGACCUGCUGUGAGAGUACCUGAAGAAAAAGCAUCGGCUAACUCCGUGCCAGCAGCCGCGGUAAUACGGAGGAUGCGAGCGUUAUCCGGAUUUAUUGGGUUUAAAGGGUGCGCAGGCGGAGGCACAAGUCAGCGGUAAAAUCGCGGGGCUCAACCCCGCUCCGCCGUUGAAACUGUGUCCCUUGAGUGCGCGAAGGGUAGGCGGAAUGCGUGGUGUAGCGGUGAAAUGCAUAGAUAUCACGCAGAACUCCGAUCGCGAAGGCAGCCUACCGGCGCGCAACUGACGCUCAUGCACGAAAGCGUGGGUAUCGAACAGGAUUAGAUACCCUGGUAGUC
rnacentral:rRNA from 1 species